rnacentral:rRNA from 1 species
UUGCUGACGAGUGGCGGACGGGUGAGUAAUGUCUGGGAAACUGCCUGAUGGAGGGGGAUAACUACUGGAAACGGUAGCUAAUACCGCGUAGAAUCGAGAGAUGAAAGUGUGGGACCUUCGGGCCUCUUGCCAUCAGAUGUGCCCAGAUGGGAUUAGCUAGUAGGUGGGGUAACGGCUCACCUAGGCGACGAUCCCUAGCUGGUCUGAGAGGAUGACCAGCCACACUGGAACUGAGACACGGUCCAGACUCC